rnacentral:rRNA from 1 species
UGCCAGCAGCCGCGGUAACACGGGGGGCGCAAGCGUUAUUCGGAAUUAUUGGGCGUAAAGGGCGUGUAGGCGGUUUGUCUAGUCAGGCGUGAAAUCCCGGAGCUUAACUCCGGAACUGCCUUUAAAACUGGUAAGCUAGAGGAUAUGAGAGGUGAGUGGAAUUCCGAGUGUAGAGGUGAAAUUCGUAGAUAUUCGGAAGAACACCAGUGGCGAAGGCGACUCACUGGCACAUUUCUGACGCUGAGGCGCGAAAGCGUGGGGAGCAAACAGGAUUAGAUA